AUUGAACGCUGGCGGCAGGCCUAACACAUGCAAGUCGAGCGAGCGGCGGACGGGUGAGUAAUGUCUGGGAAACUGCCUGAUGGAGGGGGAUAACUACUGGAAACGGUCGCUAAUACCGCAUACCAUCAGAUGUGCCCAUAUGGGAUUAGCUAGUAGGUGGGGUAAUGGCUUACCUAGGCGACGAUCCCUAGCUGGUCUGAGAGGAUGAUCAGCCACACUGGGACUGAGACACGGCCCAGACUCCUACGGGAGGCAGCAGUGGGGAAUAUUGCACAAUGGGCGCAAGCCUGAUGCAGCCAUGCCGCGUGUAUGAAGAAGGCCUUAGGGUUGUAAAGUACUUUCAGUGGGGAGGCGUUACCGGCAGAAGAAGCACCGGCUAACUCCGUGCCAGCAGCCGCGGUAAUUC
rnacentral:rRNA from 1 species